rnacentral:rRNA from 1 species
CCAGACUCCUACGGGAGGCAGCAGUGGGGAAUAUUGCACAAUGGGGGAAACCCUGAUGCAGCGACGCCGCGUGAGUGAAGAAGUAUUUCGGUAUGUAAAGCUCUAUCAGCAGGAACGAGACAAGACGGUACCUGACUAAGAAGCCCCGGCUAACUACGUGCCAGCAGCCGCGGUAAUACGUAGGGGGCAAGCGUUAUCCGGAAUCACUGGGUGUAAAGGGAGCGUAGACGGCUGUGCAAGCCUGAAGUGAAAGGCGGGGGCCCAACCCCUGGACUGCUUUGGGAACUGUACGGCUGGAGUGCAGGAGAGGUAAGUGGAAUUCCUAGUGUAGCGGUGAAAUGCGUAGAUAUUAGGAGGAACACCAGUGGCGAAGGCGACUUUCUGGACUGUACCUGACGCUGAGGCGCGAAAGCGUGGGUAGCGAACGGGAUUAGAUACCCUGGUAU